rnacentral:rRNA from 1 species
UACGGAGGGUGCGAGCGUUGUCCGGAAUCAUUGGGCGUAAAGGGCGCGUAGGUGGCCCGGUCAGUCUUUGGUGAAAGCGCGGGGCUCAACCCUCGGAUGCCGGUGGAUACUGUCGGGCUUGAGUACGGAAGAGGCGAGUGGAAUUCCUGGUGUAGCGGUGAAAUGCGCAGAUAUCAGGAGGAACACCAAUUGCGAAGGCAGCUCGCUGGGACGUUACUGACGCUGAGACGCGAAAGCGUGGGGAGCAAACAGG